AUGCAGUGCUGCGGGUGCCUGCGUGGCCUUAAGGUCAUCCGAGCAGCUCCUGGGCCAGCCCUAGUUGUGCCUGGAAUACGCUGGUCUUGGGAAAGCACAAUUCAGAAUCACUUCACGAUUCUGCAUCCAUGCAGCUGCUGCUGCAAGGGCCGUCAUCCGAAACGGGGACAGGACGGCGAAGUCCCGGGGCUGAGCACGCUGACGACAGAAGGAGUUGCUGCAACAAACCACAAACCAGAACUGGAACAGGCAGAAUUCCCUGCCAAAUCGAACCCCUUCGCAGUUCCACGGAAGGCAGAAGUAGAAGUAACACCGGCAGAAACUCGCUGGGUGCAAACGACUGGAGGGUGCUUAAUUUGCAGAAAUGGGUGAGAAUGGCAGAAAUGUGUGCAGCGCCUCCAACGCCACAGGAGCUGAGCUGAUUGGCUUUAUGGGGACGUUACC
rnacentral:lncRNA from 1 species